rnacentral:rRNA from 1 species
UACAGAGGGGGCAAGCGUUGUUCGGAAUUCCUGGGCGUAAAGGGCGCGUAGGCGGCCUGUUAAGUCACACGUGAAAUCCCUCGGCUCAACCGGGGAACUGCGUGUGAUACUGGCGGGCUUGAAUUCGGGAGAGGGAUGUGGAAUUCCAGGUGUAGCGGUGAAAUGCGUAGAUAUGCGGAGGAACACCGAUGGCGAAGGCAAUCCCCUGGACCUGUACUGACGCUCAUGCACGAAAGCGUGGGGAGCAAACAGG